rnacentral:misc_RNA from 1 species
AACGCACCUUGCGCUCCUUGGUAUUCCGAGGAGCAUGCCUGUUUGAGUGUCAUUAAAUUCUCAACCUUUUCAGCUUUUGCAAGUUGAAUUUGGCUUGGAUGUGGAGGUUGCGGGCUUCUCAGAAGUCGGCUCUUCUUAAAUGCAUUAGCGGAACCUUUGUGGACCAGCUUUGGUGUGAUAAUUAUCUACGCCACUGUUGUGAAACAGCUUUACAUGGGGUUCAGCUUCUAACUGUCCAUUGACUUGGACAAUUUUUGACAUUUUGACCUCAAAUCAGGUAGGACUACCCGCUGAACUUAA